CCAGCUUCGGAAAGGCAAGCCUCCUCCAGCCUGGCACAGUCUCCCUGUCUCUCUAGUCCCUCCACAAACACUGGCAAGGAGAGCGAUUCACUUCCCGAGCUUUCUUGCUGGAGUACUCGUGCCAAGACCUGCACCUUCAUUUGAUUUAUUAAACAGCUAUGCAAGAUUGUCUUUGGAUGAAGUCACUCAUAUAUUCUAGGCAUGAAUGGAUGGUGACCAGAUGAAUCCACAAAGCAAAAAUGGGAAAAUAAAAAGUAGACAUUCAUAUUUCCUCUAGCUAGCAAGUGGUCCAUGAUUCUGCUGACUCAGAGAAACAUACUGCAAUGCCACAGUCUCAGUGAAACACAAAAGAAAGCACAAAGGACAAGUAAAAAAUAAACUGUGCAAUAAUCUGAGUCUUUAUCAGGUACCUCCUGGAAUUCAUGCAUCCCCAAAUAUAGUAUUCAUGGGAAAGUGAUGCCAGAAGCAAAAGGCAUGUGAAAUCAACUGGAAGACAGGGCUAAUCAAGAGCAUGAGGCCAGCACACUACCACAUUUAUAUGAUUAAGAAUUUGUACAGUUAACAAAAUAAGAAUGCUUAGAAUAAAUGGAAGCAUCUGCUGGUAAUUGCAAA